rnacentral:sRNA from 1 species
CUGCAGGGUGCUUAGGGUUCCGCUGAUAUCAUCAGGUCAGGUCCGAGAAGCGCCACCUUUCCGGCAAAUUCCGGAAAGGCACACGGCGGGCCAAAAUCCCGGGAGGU